rnacentral:rRNA from 1 species
GACGAACGCUGGCGGUGUGCUUAACACAUGCAAGUCGAACGGUAAGGCCCUUUCGGGGUUCCCCUAGUGGCGAACGGGUGCGUAACACGUGGGUAACCUUCCCUCAUCUCUUGGAUAACAGUCGUAAACGGGUGCUAAUACUGGAAAUGAGCUUGCCAGGCAUCUGGUGGGUUGGAAAGAUUUUUUUUGGUUGGGGAACGACUCGCGGCCUUUCAGCUUUUUGGUGAGGUCGUGGCUCACCCAGGCUACGACGGGUAGCCGGCCUGCGAGUGCGACCGCCCGCACUAGAACUGAGAGACGGCCCACAGUCCUACGUGAGGCAGCAGUGGGGAAUAUUGCACAAUGGACGGCCGUCUGAGGCAGCAACGCCGCGUGCGUGAUGACGGCCUUCGUGUUGUAAACCGCGUUCAAUUGUGACGCAGCUUUUUUGUGACGGUAGCAGUAGAAGAAGCACCGGCUAACUACGUG